UGAGGAAUAUUGGUCAAUGGACGAAAGUCUGAACCAGCCAUGCCGCGUGAAGGAAUAAGGCCCUAUGGGUCGUAAACUUCUUUUGUAUGUGAGCAAUAAGGUCCGCGUGUGGUCCGAUGAGAGUAGCAUACGAAUAAGCAUCGGCUAACUCCGUGCCAGCAGCCGCGGUAAUACGUGGGUUGCAAGCGUUGUCCGGAAUUACUGGGUGUAAAGGGCGUGUAGGCGGAGAUGCAAGUUGGGAGUGAAAUCCAUGGGCUUAACCCAUGAACUGCUCUCAAAACUGUAUCCCUUGAGUAUCGGAGAGGCAAGCGGAAUUCCUAGUGUAGCGGUGAAAUGCGUAGAUAUUAGGAGGAACACCAGUGGCGAAGGCGGCUUGCUGGACGACAACUGACGCUGAGGCGCGAAAGCGUGGGGAGCAAACAGGAUUAGA
rnacentral:rRNA from 1 species